GACGAACGCUGGCGGCGUGCUUAACACAUGCAAGUCGAACGGAAAGGCGCUGCUCUUGUGGCGUUCUCGAUUGGCGAACGGGUGAGUAACACGUGAGUAACCUGUCCCUGUCUUUGGGGUAACUUCUGGAGACUGGGGCUCAUAUCGGAUAGGAGCUCUUGCUGCACGGUGUGGGAUGGAAAGUUUCGGCGGUUCGGGAUGGACUGGCGGCUUACCAGCUUGUUGGUGGGGUAGUGGCUUACCAAGGCUUUGACGGAUAGCCGGCCUGGGAGGUUGACCGGCGACAUGGGUACUAAGAUACGGCCCAGAAGCCAACGUGAGGCAGCAGGGGGGAGUCUUGCACAAUGGGCGGAAGCGUGAUGCGGCAGUCCUGCGUGCGGGAUGACGGCCUUCGGGUGGUAAACCGCUUUGGCCGGUGACAAGGCGUUAGUGACGGUAAUGGGUAAAGAAGCACCGGCUAACUACGUG
rnacentral:rRNA from 1 species